GCUCCCGUGUGCUUCGAUGCCCAGUGUUUAUUAGGGUUUCAUGACACAGGUGUGGUUUGUUGGAUAUUGGCUGCAUGAACGAACUCCUGUCUCCUCCCUCUCCUGGAAAUUGGGCUGGCUCAAAGUCCAGCCCUCUCAUCACAACGUUGGUCUUCCUGGUGAUCAGCUCCGUCCUGAGCCUUCUCAUUUGCAUCUGUUCAGGACACGGACGUUAUAACCCAGCCAUUUCCCUUCCUGCUUCUCAGUUGACCACCACAAAUUCAGACAUGAGAAUAUCAAAUAGAGACAGAUUUCUUCCUCUGGUGCAUCUAUUUCAACAAGGACAACUUUUCCAGCAGACCCCAGCAGACUGUCCUCAUUGGCCAGAAUUAUACCACUUUCCCUGAUGUAGACAAUCACUGACAAAGGCAAUGGGAUGCCCACACGUGGCUCACAGCAAUCAAAGUCUGUCGUCUUCCCUGAGCACACGGCCUCAUAGAAGCCGGACACCUGAUUAAUCUUGACUUUAACCCAAAG
rnacentral:lncRNA from 1 species